rnacentral:lncRNA from 1 species
AUGGAUGUUCUAUAUAUUGAACCAAAUAGGUUUAAUUACAACAUCUUUUUCUUGUCCUAACACUCAAGUCUAAUACAAUAAUUAGUCAUUUUUCUUUCUAACUACUACAUUUUCAGUGUAUGAUGUCCCAAGUGUUUGGCUCUUAAAACGCCUUCUUGAACCAAUCCUAACAUAAGUCUUCAGCUGUGAUUGGUUGUUGGACAUUCCACCCGGUGCAUUUGGCGACAUUGCAUCUUGAGCCAAGCAAAUGGAGUCUUCGAAAUGAGUUCCCGUUGCUCCUCUGUCAACCGUUCGUUGAGAGUGCAAACAUACAUAGUUGAAAAUGAAUGACGCACGGUCAACUGCCCAAAAGAAAAUAACUCAAAUGAAAACACCAAAACAAAUAACAAAAACCCAUAACGUGUGCAAGAAACGACAAGGAUCCCAAUACCCAAACCUAAAACCCAAUACCAAAACCUACAACGGGAGAAGGCAUUUACCUUGGUCCAACGAAGGUCCAUUCUGGAACUUGCCAUUUCAGCAAAACUGAGACAACAGGAUAUGUAACAAGAAGGCACUGGAGAGCACGAAAACGCCGGUAGAACCGCAGACCGCAAGGAAGAGGACGAAGGCAAAGGAGAAAAUGUGAGAGAGAACGAAAUCUAUCACACAAAACUAAUGAAACAGGCCAAGGGUAGAAUUGGAACCCAAAUUGUCUGAAACCCUUUUCAUUUUGCAGGCCAAAAUUAAAAAAAAAAAAAACAAUACAAACUACCCAAUUGAACGUUAACACUUGACAGUGUCAAAUAUAUGUCAAAAAUUAGGUGUCAAAAUAACGGAACCCUAUUUAAAAAGACAUGCAUUGUGAUUCAGCAGCACAGUCGAAAUGGUCUACAUUGUGUUUUACUUAUACGACCAAAACAAACAUGUAUAGAUAGAUAAGCAUUAUGGGUACUACGAGCAUCGACGUUAACAUCAUUAAUUAAUCUAAUAAAACAUUUCCACAAUGUCAUAUCUCCAUUCCAUAAUUUCUUGCCAAAGACAUUAUGUUAAAAUGAAGAGUUCUGCCGUGUUUUGUUCGGAUUUUUUUUUUCUUUAAACAACCUUUUCUUGUGCUUCAUACAACGAAAUAAAUUUUAUGAUCGUGCUGUCCAUAGUAUUUUCCUAGGUUUUAAAGUUAUCACUUUUUAAAUCUCAAAAACUAUUGUAUUAAUAUAUCUCGUAAUGUGGUUUUUUAUGAACACAUAUUUUCUUAGCAUUCAGAAAACUGAUAACUGUUUAUCUCUUCCUGUGCCAACCCGUUAUAAUCAUAACUUUGAUGAUUUUUUCACAUCUUUAACUAUUUCUCAUUCUUUCACUUUACAUGGUAAUUCUACUACUAACACCAAUAUCCUCUUUGCUACUACUGUUUCCACCAAUUUUAAUCAAACUGAUGUUCCUGUUAAUGACAUUUCUGAUGAUUUAAGACGUUGUUCUCGACCACGUAAAACACCUAUCUACUUGAAAGACUUCCCAACUAACAAUAUUGUUCCUUAUCCAUUACAAACUAUUUAAGUUAUACUCAUCUUUCUCAUCAUUUAAGUUUAAGAUUUACUGUUUCUUUCUACUACUUUUAAUAUUUUUCUUGGCCCAUUUGUGAUGAGAACCUCUUCUUAGCUUUGGGCCUUGUUAUUAGCCCCAAAAGGAUUGUUCACAAACUUUCAAAAAUAGAAUAAAAUUUCAAAUGUUUGGAAGGAUAAAGAAAAGGGAAAACCUGGUUUUCUUGAGUUGUUGAGUGCAGAUGGACUGUUGUAUUACUUUCCAAUAACACGAAAUUAGGAGUUAAGGGUUGGUUUUAAUGUCUUCUGUAAUUAAUAGUCUUUGUUGAAUAGGUCAUCGUGGAUGAAACUAGGCACCCUCUGACUUUGUGCUACAAAAUCAAAAUCUUUAAUUGAUCAAUUCAACAGCAGGGUGAGAAAUAUGCACAGAUGUUGAUGACCAACCGCAUGAAAAUCUUUGGAAUCUUAUUUUUAAUAGAAAAAAAAGGGUCAAACCAAAUUUAACUUCAUUAAAACAUGAUGACAAGUUUUCUCACGGGAAGGGGAAAAAAGUGGUCCUUAUAAGGCUCUUGGCAGAGGUUUUCAGUUGCAGCCAUGGCUUUCCAUUGUUAUGACAUGUUGGUGCUUGUGGUUUUUCUAGUGAACAUUAGCUUUUAUGGAAGGGUAGAUGGUCAGAAAAACGCUUUAGGAGCCUCUUUCAUCUUUGGAGAUUCAUUGGUUGAUGCUGGAAACAAUAACUAUUUGUCAACUCUUUCUAAGGCAAACAUCCCUCCCAACGGAAUUGAUUUCAAGGCCUCUGGGGGAAACCCCACCGGCCGCUACACCAACGGAAGAACCAUUGGUGAUAUAGUUGGUAAUUUUGCCUUCUUUCUCACCUACCAACUAACAUUUUCAAUUUUGAAUAAUAUUGAAAAAACCUGUUAAUAUUUUAAUAUUUUUCAGGAGAGGAAUUGGGACAACCAAAUUAUGCUGUACCAUUUUUAGCACCAAAUGCAACAGGGAAAACCAUACUGAGUGGAGUGAACUAUGCUUCGGGAGGGGGAGGGAUAAUGAAUGCCACUGGAAGGAUAUUUGUCAGUAUUUAUUUAUUUUUCUGUCUACAUAGUCUCAAUCAUUCUGUGUAAUAAGGAAUAAUUUAAUUUUCAGGUGAAUAGAAUAGGAAUGGAUGUUCAAAUAGAUUACUUCAGCAUAACAAGAAAAGAAAUUGACAAACUGCUGGGUGAAUCAAAAGCGAAAGAGUACAUAAGGAAGAAAUCCAUUUUCUCUAUCACAGUUGGGGCCAAUGAUUUUCUCAACAAUUACCUUCUCCCAGUUCUCUCCAUCGGAGCCAGAAUUUCUCAAAGUCCAGAUUCUUUCAUAGAUGACAUGAUUACUCAUUUCAGGGCCCAACUCACGGUAACAAGACGAAAUGCAAAAUCGAGAUUGAUAAGAAAAUUAAUUGUAAAUUGAAUUGAAUUGAAUUGAAUUGAAUGGCAGAGACUGUACAAAAUGGACGCUCGAAAGUUCGUGAUAGGAAACGUUGGGCCAAUAGGAUGCAUACCUUACCAGAAGACCAUAAAUCAGCUUAACGAAGAUGAGUGUGUGGAUUUGGCCAACAAACUGGCGCUUCAAUACAAUGCUCGAUUGAAGGAUUUGGUUGCGGAGCUAAACGACAACUUACCCG